AUGGCAAGCCGUCUUAUCGCUGCGCCUUCGGGCGGAGAGGAAAGUCCGGGCAACGUAGAGCAGCCUACUUCCUAACGGGAAGGGUUCCGGCGCCAGCCGGGAUACAGCCAGUGCCACAGAAAAUAACCGCCAUUUUUAAUUUUUUAAAAUGGUAAGGGUGAAAAGGUGCGGUAAGAGCGCACCAGUACGCGGGUGACCGUUGUAGCUGGGUAAACCUUAGGCGUUGAAAGACCAAAUAGGCUGGCAGCACUGCCACUUCGGUGGUAGUUAAGGGCGGCUCGUCCGAUGCCAGUGGGUAGGUUGAUGGAGCCCCGCCGCGAGGUUGGGCCUAGAUAAAUGAUAAGACGUUAACCUUUUGGUUAGCGACAGAACCCGGCUUACAGGCUUGCUAUAUUU
rnacentral:RNase_P_RNA from 1 species